rnacentral:rRNA from 1 species
AGAAUCAACGCUGGCGGCGUGCCUAACACAUGCAAGUCGAACGAGAAAGUGGAGCAAUCCAUGAGUAAAGUGGCGCACGGGUGAGUAACACGUGACUAACCUACCCUUGAGUGGGGGAUAACCUAGGGAAACCUGGGCUAAUACCGCAUAAUACCUUCGGGUCAAAGGAGCAAUUCGCUUAAGGAGGGGUCGCGGCCGAUUAGUUAGUUGGCGGGUAAUGGCCCACCAAGACUGUGAUCGGUAUCC